rnacentral:ncRNA from 1 species
ACAAAAGCGUAGAAGGAGAAAAGUAAGUUAUAGACUGUUGUAAUAGAGAGAGAUCCCUUGGCUGGAAGGAUCUUAUAACAAGUAUGGCUGAAGUUCGCUCUGGAGCUGUAACUCUGAAAGUCUUUACAGAGACCGUAGGUUUUACCGGUAGACACCGUUAUAGUCUUCGAGUGGUCUAUGGUAUUUUAAUAGAUUAUUAGGGUGGUAUCACGGAGUGUAACCUUCGUCCCUUUC